CUCCACGCGCGUAAAGGGGCUGCCUGGUGCCGGGUCUGGUCGAUUUGCGGUCACACACCGCCUCGCCCUCCGGACUGGGUUCUGCGCCUCCUCUGCUGGCCGCCGUCACCCGGGAAACCAGUCGCGACCUUCCGCAGACCCGAAGCUGGUUUCAUGGCAGCCGCGAAGAAAGCAGUUUUGGGGCCGUUGGUUGGGGCAGUGGACCAGGGCACCAGCUCGACGCGCUUUUUGGUUUUCAAUUCAAAAACAGCCGAACUACUUAGUCAUCAUCAAGUGGAAAUAAAACAAGAGUUUCCAAGAGAAGGAUGGGUGGAACAAGACCCUAAGGAAAUUCUGAUGUCUGUCUAUGAGUGUAUAGAGAAAACAUGUGAGAAACUUGAACAACUCAAUAUUGACAUUUCCAACAUAAAAGCUAUUGGUGUCAGUAACCAGAGGGAAACCACUGUAGUCUGGGACAAGAUAACUGGAGAGCCUCUCUACAAUGCUGUAGCCGCUCCAGUUUCUCCUGGCCCUUCAGAUCCAGUUGCCGUUGUUCCCUCUGGCUCUUCAGUUCCAGCUGCUGGCCCUUCCUCAGUGUGGCUUGAUCUAAGAACCCAGUCUACCGUUGAGAAUCUUAGUAAAAGAAUUCCAGGAAAUAACUUUCUCAAGUCCAAGACAGGCCUUCCACUUAGCACUUACUUCAGUGCUGUGAAAGUUCGUUGGCUUCUCGACAAUGUGAAAGAAGUUCAAAGGGCUGUUGAAGAAGAUAGAGCUCUUUUUGGGACUAUUGAUUCAUGGCUCAUUUGGUGUCUGACAGGAGGAACCAAUGGAGGCGUCCACUGUACAGAUGUAACAAAUGCAAGUAGGACGAUGCUUUUCAACAUUCAUUCUUUGGAAUGGGAUAAAGAGCUCUGCGAAUUUUUUGAAAUUCCAAUGAAAAUUCUUCCAAAUGUCCGGAGUUCUUCUGAAAUCUAUGGCUUAAUGAAAAUCUCUCAUAGCCUGAAAGCUGGGGCCUUGGAAGGUGUGCCAAUAUCUGGGUGUUUGGGGGACCAGUCUGCUGCAUUGGUGGGACAAAUGUGUUUCCGAGAUGGCCAAGCCAAAAAUACCUAUGGAACAGGCUGCUUCUUACUAUGUAAUACAGGCCGUAAGUGUGUAUUUUCUGAACAUGGCCUUCUGACCACAGUGGCUUACAAACUCGGUAGAGAUAAACCCGUAUAUUAUGCACUGGAAGGUUCUGUAGCUAUAGCCGGUGCUGUCAUCCGCUGGCUAAGAGACAAUCUUGGAAUUAUAAACAGCUCAGACGAAAUUGAAAAACUUGCUAAAGAAGUAGGUACUUCUUAUGGCUGCUAUUUCGUCCCAGCGUUUUCAGGGUUAUAUGCACCUUACUGGGAGCCCAGUGCAAGAGGGAUCAUCUGUGGGCUCACUCAGUUCACCAAUAAAUGCCAUAUUGCUUUUGCUGCAUUAGAAGCUGUUUGUUUCCAAACCCGAGAGAUUCUGGAUGCCAUGAACCGUGACUGUGGAAUUCCACUCAGUCAUCUGCAGGUAGAUGGAGGAAUGACCAACAAUAAAAUUCUUAUGCAGCUACAAGCAGACAUUCUGUAUAUCCCAGUAGUGAAGCCUUCCAUGCCAGAAACCACUGCCCUGGGAGCCGCCAUGGCAGCGGGGGCUGCAGAAGGAGUUGGCGUUUGGAGUCUGGAACCUGAGGAUCUGUCAGCUGUCACAGUGGAGCGGUUUGAACCCCAGAUCAAUGCUGAGGAAAGCGAAAUUCGUUUUUCUACCUGGAAGAAAGCUGUGAUGAAGUCAAUGGGCUGGGUUACAGCUGAGUCUUCGGAAAGCGAAGCAUAUACUUUGCUGAAGAAGAGUUUAUAAGUGAAAUAUAACCUGCCUUCCAAACCAAAGUGACCCUAGUAUCUUCUGUAGUCUACCCCUGGGCUUUUUUAUAAUGAGUAGCAUGAUAAUGUUUAUCGGAGCAAGGUACAUCUCAGGUAUCCUAUAAAUAAUAGAACUCAUGGAUUCCAAUGGUGCGAGCUCUUUACCUAACAAGAGACUCCAGCAAUUCUCUUACUCUGAUGACACUAUUCAUAGACUCUGAUUUUAUUUAUAAGCCAUUUGCUGCAUGACCCUCGAAGUUGACCUGUGGCUCGAAAUAAAGAAAAUGCAGCAGAAAGAAUGCUAUAGAAACAUGGGUGUGUUUUUUAACAUCAAUCAUAAGAUUGGACCAGCCACCUUUGGAGCUGACCCCUCCUUUGCCAGGAUUUGAUUCUCUGCACUACACACACUUGAUCAAGGGGUUAUUGCUAACUGGCUAAAAAUGAGCGACUUUGUGUUUCUUUUUAGCAGAACCCUGAAGUUCUCUUUUCUGCAUAUGCAGGAAGCCCACAGAAUCUUCACUGAUUGUUUAAGUGGAAUUCUCUACUAAAUCCUUAAAAUGAAAAUUUAGUAUUCUCAUAGUUUAGCUAUUUUUCUGAAAAGUAUUGCCAAAAUCAAAAUUCUUCAGCCAUUUUACAUGGUAUUACUAAUUAUACUGCAUUGCUGUCUGGAUCUUAUAGGGAAGGACACUUUUUCCUUUUUUUCCCCCAUCUCUCCUUUUUAUAUUUUUUACUUUAUAUGUAUAACAUACAUGCCUAUAUAUUUUAUAUACUGAGGGUAGCCCAUUUAUAAACUAAGAGUACAUUUUACAUGGCCUCACUAAUUACACUGAAUUUGUGUCCGGAUCUUGUAGAAAAGAACACUUUUUUUCUUUUUAUAUUUCUUACUUUGUAUGUAGUACAUACAUGCCUAUAUAUUUUAUAUACUAAAGGUAGCCCAUUUAUAAAUUAAAAGCACAUUGUAUUCAGUAGGUUAUAAUGGGGCUGGUCUUAAGUGGACCACUAUGUGUAUAAAUAUUUUGGGGAAAACAGCUGUAUAUGUUUUGGGGCAGCAGUUAUACAUAUUAUUUACCAGGAGAAACUUUUUCUUAAAGAGCCAACAUUUGAAAUUUAAAGUAUGUGUUCUAUGUCAAUAAAAGAAAAUAGACUUUAUUGUGACUUCAACUAUGUUUCUUAUACCUUACAUUUUUAUUUAAAAUUUUUAGCCGGAUAUAUGCUAAAGAGAGAAAACUGUGGAAUACUAUAGUAAAUACUGUUUUCAAACACAAGUACUAGUCCAUAUGAAGUUAUUUUCAUUUAACGUAAUCUUAAACAUAUUUGGGAUCCUUUUGAGGGGAUGUCAAAAAAGGUUAAAAAUUUAAGUUAAAAAACACACACCAUUAGAAAUAAAGCCAAGAUCACUUUCCACCCAAAUAUGUUAUUAAUUGCUGAUAAGCAAUUAUAAUUUCUAUUUGGGAUGACAAUUACCUCUGCUUACUGUCAAAACUUUUAAAAGGUUUACUAUUAGAAAUGGCUUCCAAUGAAACCAAGAAUUUCUCAAAAUAUUUAGUAUUGCGUGUGCCUAAUGUAGCUUCUUAAUGUCAAUUUUAAAAACAUCCUAAAAUUAAUUGCUGUUUACUGCAAGUAAGAAUAUACUGCCUCCUAAUUAUUUUAUUCAAUCAGUGCUGAAAAUGGAAAAAUAUUUAUAUGUUAAUAUGAAAAGUUUUAUUUGGAAUCAAUGCUAACUUGAAUUUGCAGUGCUCAUUGUGCUGUUUCUAAAUUGUUGAAUCUGCUGGGUUUUUAUUGAUGCUGCUGCCACUUUCGUGACAUAAAUAUUAAAGAAAGGUACUGUGAAAUUACUACUUUGUGGCAGGGUACUUUUAAACAUACUGAUAUUUCUACAAAGGUAGUUUCAGUUCAUUGUAAAUAAUUGUUAAAAUCACUGUUCAGAUAACAUUAAGAUUACAUUAAUUUUCUAUAAAUGGCGAUAUUUGUAAAUGUUUGAAAUUGUACACAUUGAUAUUUCAUGAUAAAUGUGCUUAAAAUAAAUUGACCCCUCAUUCUUA